rnacentral:ncRNA from 1 species
UUAGUAGAGAGACUCUUUUGAUUUAUCAGAAGGGUAACACGUUGCUCCUUAUUUUUUAUAAGGAAAUGUAUAGUCUACCCUCAUUAGUAAUAGUGAGACAAGUGGUCGGCUCAUCACAUCCUGGAGGUGAAGUAACUUCCAAGGGUCGGGCUGUUCGCCCGUUAAAGUGGUACGCGAGCUGGGUUCAGAACGUCGUGAGACAGUUCGGACUCUAUCCGGUGUAGGCGUUUAGAUUUUUGAAGGGAGUCUUCCACAGUACGAGAGGACCUGGAAGAGGAGAUCCCUGGUAUACCAGUUGUCCAAAAAGGGCAUUGCUGGGUAGCUAAAUCUCCAUGUGAUAAACACUGAAUGCAUCUCAAGUGUGAAGCACGCCCUAAGAUUAGAAAUCCCUAUCAGUUCGCCAGUAGAUUACUGGUUAUAUAGGCAUUAGGUGUAAGUCCUGCAAGGGAUUUAGCCGAGAUGUCCUAACGAACGACUCUUCCAUCUCU